rnacentral:lncRNA from 1 species
UAAUUUAUAUAUAAUAUAUAACGUUUCUUUGUUUCCUAGCCAAUAGAUAGAACAUACAUCGUUUAUUAGCCGCUAGAUGUCUCUAGAUGUUGCAAAUACACAGAAUCAGAGGAUCACUUUUUUCUAUUUCUUGUGCUCAACGAUAUGUAUUAAGCGUAAUUAACAUGACACCUUGGGUGACUCGUGCCAACGCUUUAUCUACCCCUUUCAAGCUCGUUAACUAGUUUUUCCUUUUUUCCUUUCCUUUCUUUCUCUCUUUUUUUUUUAUCACGAGAUACCAUCGACUCGGGUCACGGCCGAGAGAGAGACACGAGCAUUAUCUUCAUCGACCGCGGGGAGAUUCGACAUCAAAGGUCGUUACGCUAGAUUGCAUGGAAUGUCGUCAUUGUCUCUAUAAAAGAUCGCCUUUAAAACGAAACGUAAAGCACGUAAGGACGAAAAGAGAGGGAAAGAAGGAAUGAAGAAAGAAGAGGAAGAGAGAGAUACGAGAAAGGGGAAUAUAUACAGGUGGCGUGAUAUCCUCGAUCGAAAAACGGAAGCUCUCGACGUGGUGGCUAUUCGUCAUACGGCUAUCAGUCAGAAACAGAGAUACAUCGGCCGUUCGUGACUUCGUGAACAUCGCUGAUAACGGUGCCGACUUUGCAACUACGACUGCGAUAACAGGUCGAGUUCAUGAAUGGGACGUCGGUUGAUGCAGAUACGGAUGGAUCUGGUCAAGUUUUCGGAUUGUUGCUUCCUGAUGAAAGGACGUAUCGAAUGAUUUUGUUUUUCCAAUUAACGAGUUUAAGGGUAAAUAUGAAUGGUAUAUCGAUUCAAUAAUUAAAAUCAAAUUUCAAUAGCAAGCAUCGAGGAAAAAAGUGCUCUUCUCAACAACUUAUGCUCGUUGAAAUCGAUAAGAUGUGUUUUUCCUAUAUAAUUAUCAAAAUUUAUAUUGAGCAGAUACUUGCAUCAAGCCUCAUGAAGUAAUAUGAAUUGGCAUAAAUCUCAGAAUUUUAAUUGUUCCGUGUCGAUGAACAUUUUACGUAUACGGAAUAAAUCAUUGGUGAGGUAAGAAAUGGGAAGUAAGAACGUAAAUCGAGGCUGAUGCGAGUGAAAGUUGUGCAUUUAGAUGCUAUCUCUGCCACCUCUGUUUACCAUUUCCCUGUUCGACACUUUUACGAAUUCACGGUGUCGUUUUCAGCUCUUCUUAUCGAUCGUGGCCGAUGCCAACCAUCGGUUUCCCAUUCAUCCUCGUUACGAUCGUUGCUACUCCUUCUUUUACCCGUUUAAUUUGACUUUCAAAUAAGGUAAGGUAACGCCGUCGAACGCCACUCCCAUUAAAUAAACGUUAACUUCACAUUUUAUAUCACUUUCCUCCACUUCCAACUGAAAUCAAUCGAUCAAAGUCUCGGAUAUUUAAGUCGACGAACCGGCCAAGGAUCCACCCCUCCCCAAUUCUAUUCCAAAUAGAAUUUCAGAUCUUAAGUUCGAUCGGAAAUCCUUUACAGGUCGUGCCAACAGAUCUUUGACUAAAUUUAACUCAAGAAUGAUCGAUGGAUUCCCUCUUCAUCUUGUAAUGUUAUAUCGAAGGCGGAUCGUACGUGCAUUGUCGUUGCACGUUUACAUUAUCCAUCACUUUUGUUGUCCAACUUUAAGCUUCAAUUCAUCGUUUACACUUCGUACAAGAAGCACGAAUAAUCUAAUCGUUUCGAGGUUAAUGGAAAAACAAUAGCAGGGGGAUAAGCUUUUGUAUCCUGAAAUGCUGUGGUCGAUGCACUCGGAUUCGGACAGAGGACAGACGUUUAAUCAAAGGAUAAAUUAACUGCUUUGAAGAUCAAACAACGAUCGAGAAAAGUGAAAAUUGAGUAAGAAAUUUUUCCCUAUGAAUCUUGUUUCAAUAAUUUUUUCAAUUCUUUCCAAUU